GUAUUGAUGAUGAGUGCCAAACUAGGACGAAACAGCUGUCCAUUAC
rnacentral:hammerhead_ribozyme from 1 species